AUUGAACGCUGGCGGCAGGCUUAACACAUGCAAGUCGAGCGGAGAUGAGGUGCUUGCACCUUAUCUUAGCGGCGGACGGGUGAGUAAUGCUUAGGAAUCUGCCUAUUAGUGGGGGACAACAUUCCGAAAGGAAUGCUAAUACCGCAUACGUCCUACGGGAGAAAGCAGGGGAUCUUCGGACCUUGCGCUAAUAGAUGAGCCUAAGUCGGAGUAGCUAGUUGGUGGGGUAAAGGCCUACCAAGGCGACGAUCUGUAGCGGGUCUGAGAGGAGGGUCCGCCACACUGGGACUGAGAGACGGCCCAGGCUCCUACGGGAGGGAGCAGUGGGGAAUAUUGGUCAAUGGGGGAACCCUGAUCUAGCCAUGCCGGGUGUGUGAAGAAGGCCUUAGGGUUGUAAAGCACUUUAAGCGAGGAGGAGGCUACUGAGACUAAUACUCUUGGAUAGUGGACGUUACUCGCAGAAUAAGCACCGGCUAACUCUGUGCCAGCCGCCGCCGUAAGAC
rnacentral:rRNA from 1 species